rnacentral:rRNA from 1 species
GACGAACGCUGGCGGCGUGCUUAACACAUGCAAGUCGAGCGGUAAGGGCCCUUUCGGGGGUACACGAGCGGCGAACGGGUGAGUAACACGUGGGUGACCUGCCCUUAGCUCUGGGAUAAGCCUGGGAAACUGGGUCUAAUACCGGAUAUGACUCCAUAACGCAUGUUGUGGGGUGGAAAGCCUUGUGCGGCUAGGGAUGGGCCCGCGGCCUAUCAGCUUGUUGGGUGGGGUGAUGGCCACCAAGGCGACGACGGGUAGCCGGCCUGAGAGGGCGACCGGCCACACUGGGACUGAGACACGGCCCAGACUCCUACGGGAGGCAGCAGUGGGGAAUCUUGCGCAAUGGGCGAAAGCCUGACGCAGCGACGCC